GGUUAAGCGACUAAGCGUACACGGUGGAUGCCCUGGCAGUCAGAGGCGAUGAAGGACGUGCUAAUCUGCGAUAAGCGCCGGUAAGGUGAUAUGAACCGUUAUAACCGGCGAUUUCCGAAUGGGGAAACCCAGUGUGACUCGUCACACUAUCAUUAACUGAAUCCAUAGGUUAAUGAGGCGAACCGGGGGAACUGAAACAUCUAAGUACCCCGAGGAAAAGAAAUCAACCGAGAUUCCCCCAGUAGCGGCGAGCGAACGGGGAGGAGCCCAGAGCCUGAAUCAGCAUGUGUGUUAGUGGAAGCGUCUGGAAAGGCGCGCGAUACAGGGUGACAGCCCCGUACACAAAAGCGCAUGUGCUGUGAGCUCGAUGAGUAGGGCGGGACACGUGGUAUCCUGUCUGAAUAUGGGGGGACCAUCCUCCAAGGCUAAAUACUCCUGACUGACCGAUAGUGAACCAGUACCGUGAGGGAAAGGCGAAAAGAACCCCGGCGAGGGGAGUGAAAAAGAACCUGAAACCGUGUACGUACAAGCAGUGGGAGCCCCACCACUAAGCCAGUGGUGAACUCCACAUACGCAUCCUUUGCUGAGGAUACGGUUAACGGAGCGAAAGCGACGUUCAACCUCAAAAGAAGCAGAGGGGGCUUAGUGGUGGGGUGACUGCGUACCUUUUGUAUAAUGGGUCAGCGACUUAUAUUCUGUAGCAAGGUUAACCGAAUAGGGGAGCCGGAGGGAAACCGAGU
rnacentral:rRNA from 1 species